AUUGAACGCUGGCGGCAGGCUUAACACAUGCAAGUCGAACGAGUGGCGGACGGGUGUAUAAUGCUGGGGACUCUAGCUUAUGGAGGGGGAUAACUACGGGAAACUGUAGCUAAUACCGCGUACCAUAGGAUGAGCCCAAGUGGGAUUAGGUAGUUGGUGAGGUAAAGGCUCACCAAGCCGACGAUCUCUCGCUGGUCUGCGAGGAUGAACAGGCACACUGGGACUGAGACGAGGGCGAGACGCCUACGGGAGGCAGCAGUGGGGAAUAUUGCGCAAUGGGGGCAACCUGACGCAGCCAUGCCGCGUGAAUGAAGAAGGCCUUCGGGUUGUAAAGUUCUUUCGGUAGCGAGGCGUUAACUACAGAAGAAGCACCGGCUAACUCCGUGCCAGCAGCCGCGGUAAUUC
rnacentral:rRNA from 1 species